CCUACGGGAGGCAGCAGUAGGGAAUCUUCCACAAUGGACGCAAGUCUGAUGGAGCAACGCCGCGUGAGUGAAGAAGGUUUUCGGAUCGUAAAGCUCUGUUGUUGGUGAAGAAAGAUAGUGAGAGUAACUGCUCAUUAUUUGCCGGUAAUCAACCAGAAAGUCACGGCUUCUUCUGCCAGCAGCCGCGGUAAU
rnacentral:rRNA from 1 species